UACGAAGGGGGCUAGCGUUGUUCGGAAUCACUGGGCGUAAAGCGCGCGUAGGCGGUCUAUCAAGUCAGAGGUGAAAUGCCGGGGCUCAACCCCGGAACUGCCUUUGAAACUGAUAGACUGGAAUCUUGGAGGGGGUAGUGGAAUUCCCAGUGUAGAGGUGAAAUUCGUAGAUAUUGGGAAGAACACCGGUGGCGAAGGCGGCUCACUGGCCCGAAACUGACGCUCAUGCACGACAGCGUGGGGAUCAAACAGG
rnacentral:rRNA from 1 species